CCUACGGGAGGCAGCAGUGAGGAAUAUUGGUCAAUGGGCGCGAGCCUGAACCAGCCAAGUAGCGUGAAGGAUGACGGCACUACGUAUUGUAAACUUCUUUUAUAGAGGAAUAAAGUGAGGCACGUGUGCCUUUUUGUGUGUACUUUAUGAAUAAGGAUCGGCUAACUCCGUGCCAGCAGCCGCGGUAAUACGGAGGAUCCGAGCGUUAUCCGGAUUUAUUGGGUUUAAAGGGAGCGUAGAUGGGGUGUUAAGUCAGUUGUGAAAGUGUGCGGCUCAACCGUAAAACUGCAAUUGAUACUGGCAGCCUAGAGUUCAGGUGAGGUAGGCGGAAUUCGUGGUGUAGCGGUGAAAUGCUUAGAUAUCACGAAGAACUCCGAUUGCGAAGGCAGCUUACUAACCUGACACUGACAUUGAUGCUCGAAAGUGUGGGUAUCAAACAGGAUUAGAUACCCCAGUAGUC
rnacentral:rRNA from 1 species